rnacentral:lncRNA from 1 species
GAAUUACUCUUGGAGUAGCAAUUGCUGGAUGUGCCUCUUUUGUUGAGGUGAUUGGAUCUUUUGGCAAAAACCAGUGACUGCAAAGGAUGAGAGAAACGAUCAGAAAAACUGAAAAGCUGUAGGAGACCAAACACUAGUGUCUCCCCUGCUUCAGGGGACACCCACUGUCAGAGUGAACGACAAAGACGCGCGUGGAUGAUUUGAAGAUAUUAGCCUAACAAGAUGGAAGCAGGUUUAAAAUUUUACAUAAGAAGUUACCUUUUUCAGCUGGUCCUAUAGUACCCCUCCUCAGGAAUGUCUCCCCAGUGCAAGGACAAAGACUGAAGAGACUGCUAUAUUGAUGGACUCUCAAGCCAACUAUGAAGUUGAAACAAAGAAAGUGAUCACCUGAAGACACCUCCUCUGCUAAGAAACACCCCCAAAUUGUGCAGCUUCUGCCACUAGAACUCUCAGAACAAGAGACAAUCUUUUCAAGAAACAGAAAAACUCAAUAAUGACAUCUAGAUUUUCAUGAGCCAAGAACUUUCCCUUCCUCAUGUGUAUUCCUCUGUUUGUACUUAAAUUCAUGUGACAUUCAUUUUUUUCCUAGUAUGGAUAUGCUUAUUAAUGCACUUGUUUCAAAAUCCCAAAUUGCACAAAUGUGUUAAUAUUUUAAGAAACAAAAUGAAUCCUACAAGGAGAAUGAUUUUUAGCCACACAUAGGGUUGGAUCUUGAGAGUGACCUACAGAAUAAAAGUACUUUUAAAAUAAAGUAGUCAGAGGCUAUUCAAAGGGUAAAAUAAUCAUAGUACCACAUUGGUCCACUUGACACUAACCAAUCGAUCAUUUUUUUUUAAUCAAGAAAGCUAGAUUCUAUCAGAUAAAAUCACUGCUUCUAAAGAGUUUAAAUCUAGUUAGAAAAAGUUAUAGAAAUGUUUGCAAAGAUAAGUAACAGAUAGAGUCAGUAGAGGAUAAGAUCAAAAACAAAACCAAGCAAAAGAUGAGUUCAGGGGAGUUUGCCAUCAAGUUGGCAAAACUGACUUACUUAGGGAAGAAAGUUAUAAAACAGGAAAAUAUGAGAUGAACCUUGAGUGAUGUGGAAGAUUUAGAUAAAUGGAAAGGAAGGAGAAAAUGGAGUUCUUUAGGUGGUUGUAAUUGGAGGAGGAAAUGAAUACACACAUCUUGUUGACUUAAACCCAGACAUUCAGCAGCUCUCUAUACAUAUCUGGAAAAGACUGCACAGUCACCUCCUGUCUCUCACCCCAGGUAUUACUUAGAAUUAUUAUCAUAUUUCCCUUCCUUUAAAGUAAGUAAGGGUGAUUGGUGACAAUAUGGAGAACUAUGAUUUUUCCAUUAACCUAAUAAUAAUUGGUAUUUAUUGAGUUCUGUUAAGCAUUUUACAUAUUAACUCACUUAAGCCUUUCAACAGCCUUGCAAAAUAGGUAUUAUUAUCCCCAUUUUACAGGCAAGAAAACUGAGGUUUAAGUAACUUGCCGAAGUGCCAUAUACAGGGCUCACAUUCAGUAUUGCAGUUGCAAAGCUCAUGAUCUAUAGUGCCAAGUUGCAAUAUUGUAGUCAAUGUCACAAUUAUUACCCCUUUUUAUAUUCCUUGAUAUUUUUCCAUGGCAAACAAUUAGCUAUUUCAUUUAAUAAUCACCUAAAACUUUUCAGUCUUCUGAUUAAAAUUACGCUGGAGUGAUAGAAUGUAUUUUCAUGAUAGAAAUUGGGAAAAAAAAUGGGGAAUGAAGUUUAUCAGCAUUUCAGACUUGUUUUUUUUUUUUUUUUUUGCAAGACUUUGAUGAGAUUGUUCACUUUUGUCUAUGUAAAAUCCCAAAUCCUUGAGAAUAAAAAAGGGGGAGGUUUAAGUCACUUGUUGCAAUGCCCUUUUUAAUAGAGGCAAUAAAUCUAAAGGCCAUAAAUUUAGAGUGACUUACAGAAGAUCGAACUUUGGAGUGUGGCAGAGUAAGGGAUGGAAACCGGGCCCUCCAGUUCACUAUCAGUAGCUUUUGCACUGGUCUGCCCUUCCUAAAUUAAGUAUGCACUUCAAUUUGAUGAGUGGAAACAGUCUAUCUGGGCAGUAACCAGGGAGCUUUGUGCCUAGUAGAUUGCUUCUGUUCUGCACUUCUUUGGUUUCCCACCUCAAUGUAAAAAAUAGCUAGCAAUGAAGUCCAGAAGUUGUCAAUGGUUCAUCCCCAGAAGAAUGCAUAAUGUCCAAAGUUGUAUGUGUAUGAUGUCUUCAAUGGUAUUAAGUUAUUUCAAAUUCUUAGUUCACCUACAUAAAUCAUUUCUAACAAGCAUCUUCUUAACCAACUUUAUGCACAGUGUAUGUUUGUAAGUGCUUCUGCACGAAUGUUUAUACAUGACUGUUUCCAUAGUACUUAUGUUUUUAAAAAUAUUCAGUCAUUUCCUACUAUAAUCCUCAUGUAUCCAUGUAACUGACUCAAAAAUACUUCAGCCACAGAAAGCUAAAACUGAGCAAAUCUCAUUCUUCUUUUCCAUCCCCUUUGCAUGUGGCUGGCAUUUAGUAAUGAUUAAUAAUAUGGCCAGCUGAAUAACAGAGGUUUGAGACACAAUUCUUUCUCAAAGGAGUCAGCUAAGCUGGGUCUACUUAUGGACAAACAUCUAAAUGUGUGGAAGUAUCUGAUAUUUGACAAUGGUAAAUUUCCACUUAGCUAGCUAGCAUUGUCAGACUUCAAUCUCCUCAUGGCUCUGGCCGUCCUGUUUUAAGCAUGAUAAUUGUUGGCCACAUCUCACAUAGUUCUCAUUGAGUGAGUUCAUAAAUAAACAGGGUUUUUUUUUUUUUUUAAAGAGCAGCCAAGCACAAAGUGUGACUUUGUUGACAUUUUAUGUGACUUUGUCAUAUGUUCCUAACCCCCAAUAAAAGCAAUGUUGCAUCAACUGUGAA